UUUUGGAGCAGUGAAACCAUACAUCACUUUUAUGCAUAAGGAAGACGAAUUUGACAGCAGUAUGAAAAAUGAAUUGUCAUGGAAAGAGGAUGAGGUCACUUGGUGAUAAGUGAAAAAGAUCAAAGGAUUAUUGGUUUAAUACUGGUAAUUGUCUGAUUUGUCAAGAAACCAAUAGUAUAAAAUGGCAACUGUUGCAUCUGGGGAUUGGCUAUAGGUAUCCACCUCUGUUAUCUGUACCUGGAAAAUUAAAUGAUCUAUUGAACAUCAUCCUGACUCUAUUUCCAUUCUGAAAAGGAAAAUUGCCCACCUGAUUAAUCCUGAGCACUGCCUUUAACACUCUGUGACUACAAGAUUGGAGAAGUCUUGCAAGUACAACACUAAAUCUAUUAAAUAAUAGAUUGAUACUGGAACAUUUCUGAGUUACUAGGAUGUACCUUGUGAAAACGACAUUGUGAAACUCUAGAUGAAGUAGCAAAUAUCCUCCUUCCUGGUGCUCUAUUUCCUCCCUUCCCUCUUUAAUUGAUCAUCCUAUAAUCACCCUGACUUGGUUCUGUACAGGUAUUCCAGUAUUUUGUACUGUGUAUUGUCCUGAAUUAUAAUUCUUUUGUCUUAAAUAAAACUCUUUUG